ACCUGUCUGGCUUAGUUGGUGGAGCAAGUGACUCCUGAUCUCUGGGUUGUGAGUUCGAGCCCCAUGUUAGAUG
rnacentral:tRNA from 1 species